AGCGAACGCUGGCGGCAGGCUUAACACAUGCAAGUCGAACGGGCGCAGCAAUGCGUCAGUGGCAGACGGGUGAGGAACACGUGGGAAUAUGCCCUUUGGUUCGGAAUAACUCAGGGAAACUUGAGCUAAUACCGGAUAAGCGCGAGAGCGGAAAGAUUUAUCGCCGAAGGAGUAGCCCGCGUCUGAUUAGCUAGUUGGUG
rnacentral:rRNA from 1 species